rnacentral:rRNA from 1 species
UACGGGGGGAGCAAGCGUUGCUCGGAAUCACUGGGCGUAAAGGGUGCGUAGGCGGGUCUUUAAGUCAGGGGUGAAAUCCUGGAGCUCAACUCCAGAACUGCCUUUGAUACUGAAGAUCUUGAGUUCGGGAGAGGUGAGUGGAACUGCGAGUGUAGAGGUGAAAUUCGUAGAUAUUCGCAAGAACACCAGUGGCGAAGGCGGCUCACUGGCCCGAUACUGACGCUGAGGCACGAAAGCGUGGGGAGCAAACAGG